GUAUUGUUUCCUACACAUUCAAUACGGUAUCCAUACCACGGGUAGCAUGCAAAGUCAUGGAGCUUUUUCUGAAACUAGUUCCACGAUAUUGUUGCGCCCCCGAAACUUAGAGACGGGGCCAAGCUUUCGUCUGUGUCCAGCGGCCAGCGCAGAAGUACCAUCCAACACGACCUUGAACUUUCUUGAACCAGAAAAUGGCGACCAGGAAGUGAUUUUGGGAAGUGAUCGUGAUGGUUUGCUGUUUUAUAAGCAAAAUGUGAAAUGUCAUGGGAUACCUUAUCAGCCCGUGGAUACAUAAGGUCUUGCUUGCUGGCCGCAGUUUGACCCAACAGCCACACAGAGGGAGAGAUGCAGUCACAGUGUGGCGGGGACAGACCAGUGCCAUCCAACCUGGACAUGGUGACCAGUGAGAAGUCUUCAGCACUCAUCCUGGUGACAGUCCUGGGUAUAUGGGUCGGAGAGGCACUUUCUGAUUCUUCAGAUUGAAAGGUGAAGAACACUGCCACAUCCAAGGGAGAUAAUCCACUUUCAACACACCUGCCAAUCAAGCUCCUUCAGUAACCUAUGCUGUCUAGUGAUCACACCCAAGCCCUAGUCGAAGUUUCCAUAUUGACUUUGCCGGACUCUUGCAGUUGACACGAUGGACAGCACUGUGGGCUCUACCAUGGAAGUUACGAGCAAAGGUUGUAUUCCGAAGUUGUAUCCCAAGGUUGUAUCACGAGGUUGUAUCCCGAAGUUGUAUCACAAGGUUGUAUCCCGAGGUUGUAUCACGAGGUUGUAUCCCGAAGUUGUAUCCAGAGGUUGUAUCACGAGGUUGUAUCUCGAGGUUGUAUCACGAGGUUGUAUCCCGAGGUUGUAUCCCGAAGUUGUAUCCCGAGGUUGUAUCACGAGGUUGUAUCAUGAGGUUGUAUCCAGAGGUUGUAUCCAGAGGUUGUAUCCAGAGGUAAUGACCGGCGCAAUGCCUUGUUGGUUGCUUCACACUGUUGACUGUGGGGGUUGAUUUGUGUCUUUUCAAUCAGUUUAGGGCCGAGACGAAAGUCAGUGCAUUUUCUCAAAUUUUCAAAGUUACUUUCAUUGUGACUAAGUUUGAAGUUUUUAUCUAAAUACUUACUGUGCAACAACAAUUUUUGCUGCUUUCUGCGUUUUGUGUGAUGCCCCAUUUACAUUUUGCAUCAUCAUCACAAGUCUUUGAGAGAGAUUUCUUCAGCCUUGGCAGGUCACGUGCAUUUAGAAUUUUUAAUAAACUUUCUGUUGCUGGCCUGUAUCAAGGCUGGCCUGUUUGAUGCCGUGUAUCAAGAAAUGUUUGUGGGCAAACAUCCAUUUCACCUGCUUCAUAAAUUUCAGUGUGAGCUAGGUUUUGUGUUUAAAGCCAAAAUUUGGUGGUCACUAGUCUGGAUCUCAGUGACCGCCUCCGUGGUCUAGUGGUAGAGCGUCCGCCCGGAGAGCGGAAGGUCUGGGGUUUGAUCCCCGGCCACGUCAUACCAAAAGACGUUAAG